rnacentral:pre_miRNA from 1 species
AUUUGACUGUGUGUGGAUAGUGUUCAGCACCAAGGACAGGUGUAUUUGACUGUGUGUGGAUAGUGUUCAGCACCAAGGACAGGUGUAUUUGACU